AAUCAACGCUGGCGGCGUGCCUCAGACAUGCAAGUCGAACGAUUAAAGCUCCCUUCGGGGAGUGUAUAGAGUGGCGCACGGGUGAGUAACACGUAAGUAAUCUACCCUCGAGUGGGGAAUAACGUCCGGAAACGGACGCUAAUACCGCAUAAUGCAGCGGCACCGCAAGGUGACAGUUGUUAAAGAUUUAUCGCUUGAGGAGGAGCUUGCGGCAGAUUAGCUAGNGGUAAGGUAAUGGCUUACCAAGGCUACGAUCUGUAACCGGUCUAAGAGGACGGUCGGUCACACUGACACUGAAUAACGGGUCAGACUCCUACGGGAGGCAGCAGUCGGGAAUUUUGGGCAAUGGGCGAAAGCCUGACCCAGCAACGCCGCGUGAAGGAUGAAGUAUUUCGGUAUGUAAACUUCGAAAGAAUGGGAAG
rnacentral:rRNA from 1 species